rnacentral:rRNA from 1 species
UGCCCUAGUAACGGCGAGUGAAGCGGCAAUAGCUCAAAUUUGAAAGCUGGCCUCUGGUCCGCAUUGUAAUUUGUAGAGGAUGCUUUUAGGCAGCCGCCGGUCUAAGUUCCUUGGAACAGGACGUCAUAGAGGGUGAGAAUCCCGUAUGUGACCGGCUCAGGCACCUUCUGUAAAGCUCCUUCGACGAGUCGAGUUGUUUGGGAAUGCAGCUCUAAAUGGGAGGUAAAUUUCUUCUAAAGCUAAAUACUGGCGAGAGACCGAUAGCGCACAAGUAGAGUGAUCGAAAGAUGAAAAGCACUUUGGAAAGAGAGUUAAAAAGCACGUGAAAUUGUUGAAAGGGAAGCGCUUGCAAUCAGACUUGGCUUAGAUUGUUCAACCGGUCUUCUGACCGGCCUAUUCAUUCUGAGCCAGGCCAGCAUCAGUUUCGGCGGCCGGAUAAAGGCCUUGGGAAUGUGGCCCUCCCUUCGGGGUGGGUGUUAUAGCCCAGGGUGUAAUACGGCCAGCCGGGACUGAGGUCCGCGAUUCGUCUAGGAUGCUGGCGUAAUGGUUGUAAGCGGCCCGUCUUGAAACACGGACCAAGGAGUCUAACAUCUAUGCGAGUGUUAGGGUGUCAAACCCUUACGCGUAAUGAAAGUGAACGGAGGUGGGAACCCGCAAGGGUGCACCAUCGACC